rnacentral:rRNA from 1 species
UACGUAGGGGGGCGAGCGUUGUCCGGAGUACUGGGCGUAAAGCGCACGCAGGCGGUCUGCUAAGUUUUGGAGUGACAGUUGGUGGCUUAACUGCCAAAGUGCUUCGAAAAACUGACAGACUUGAGGGCUUCAGAGGGACACGGAAUUCCGGGUGGAGUGGUGAAAUGCGUAGAGAUCCGGAGGAACACCAAUGGCGAAGGCAGCACUCUGGGACGGUACUGACGCUGAGACGCGAAAAGCGUGGGGAGCAAACAGG